UAUGCAGAGCUGCUGGGUAAAGCCAUGAGGAACCUGGAAAUGGGCUCCCACAGUGCUCAUGGCAAAGCCAAGUGAAGAUACAAGGCUUUGGAGCAGCACAGUUCAGCUGAGAUUUAUUUGGGAUGAGGACUGAGAGGCUUCCAGUCUGAGGAAACAAGAUCAGCUGAGAAGUUGGCCAGAGUAUUAUUUUGGAAGGUACAAAAGAUAUGCUGCACAAGAAGUAGAUGGUCCACAAAAAGAUUAAAUUUAUAACUGAAAAAUUUAGAAUGGUAUGUUUUACAUUGAUGAGAAAAAAAAAUAAAACAGAAUCCCCCAGCUCUGACUGGACCAAGAGGUCUGAUGGUCAGGCCCUGCUGAACCUACUGGUGGUAAAAGUAUUGAAAAAAACCAAACAGCUUCUAAUGGCCGAAUCCAUCCCCUUCUACACUAUUAAUGCUCUGACUCUUCCCUAAGAUCAGUGGGGAACAAACUAUCCAAAGUGACUCAGAUUGUCUGAGUUUUCUCCAACUGCUCCCUACCCCCAAAUUGUUCUAUUCAACAGAACUGUUGAGCCUUCUGCCCCUCCUGCUUCUCUGCGAUGGAAUUGUUGGUCUGGCUUAAUAAACCCAAUCAUGCUCA